rnacentral:lncRNA from 1 species
CGUCUUAUUUCUCCAACUAUCCUCCUCUCUCUACCCCUCUAGCCCAACCAAAAGAUAGAUUAAAAAGUAAAAGAAAAGAAAGAAAUCAUAAUUGUGGGCUGCCUGAUCGCUUUGCUAUGGAUAUUUUUUCUGGUAUUUUUUAUGUGCAUUGCAAGUCGGCUCAAGAGAAAUUAAAAAUCAAACAUCAGAAAACUCCAAGAUAGAGUGCUCUGUGGCCACAACAAUAUAAUGUUAAGUACAAAAUUCCAGAAAUACCCUUGGUCAUCCAUGAGCUUGAAGAGCUAAAUCUGCCCGGCAUCGUCUUUGGUACACUUGCCAGCAGUAAAUAACAAUAUUAG